rnacentral:rRNA from 1 species
UACGUAGGGUGCAAGCGUUGUCCGGAAUUAUUGGGCGUAAAGAGCUCGUAGGCGGUUCGUCGCGUCGGCUGUGAAAACCUGAGGCUCAACCUCAGGCCUGCAGUCGAUACGGGCGGACUUGAGUACUGCAGGGGAGACUGGAAUUCCUGGUGUAGCGGUGAAAUGCGCAGAUAUCAGGAGGAACACCGGUGGCGGAAGGCGGGUCUCUGGGCAGUAACUGACGCUGAGGAGCGAAAGCGUGGGGAGCGAACAGG